UAAAAUCUACCGCCAACACUACGAUUCUUAGUAUGAUGUGCUAAUAUUUGUAAAGUCAUACACACUUGUUCCUCUACAGACACCAAACCAUCAGUUUUUACCCUCCCAUCUUGACGAAGUAAGUCGCAUAAUAUGCUAAAAGUCCUUCUAUCCAUUCUCAAUUCGUUGACACAUUCAGUAUCAGUAUUCCCUAUUAUACCAUUCAGAUA
rnacentral:lncRNA from 1 species